CCCUUAGAUGUUCUGGGCCGCACGCGCGCUACACUGUUCGACGCAGCGAGUCUUAACCUUGACCGAAAGGUUUGGGUAAUCUUCAGCAAAGUCGAACGUGAUGGGGAUCGAUCAUUGCAAUUAUUGAUCGUGAACGAGGAAUUCCUAGUAAGUGCAAGUCAUCAGCUUGCGCUGAUUACGUCCCUGCCCUUUGUACACACCGCUCGUCGCUACUACCGAUUGAAUGGUUUAGUGAGAUCUCUGGAUUGACGCUGGCUAGGGGGCGACCCUUGGCCAGGCUGUCGAGAAACUGCUCAAACUUGAUCAUUUAGAGGAAGUAAAAGUCGUAACA
rnacentral:rRNA from 1 species